rnacentral:sRNA from 12 species
UGCCUAAACUCUAUUUUUAGAGCAUGGCGCAAAAUCAUAAGACAUACCAAACCCGUCAUUCGGGGGCAUGUCUUAUGUUAUACGAGGAAACUUGUAUAGGGAUCGCAAGAUCCU